AGAAAAGUAUCCUCCGAAAAGGAUCCAAAUUGAUACUGCUGAAGAAAUGAACUACUGGAAAAACGAUAACCAAGACUACUGGACAGAAAAUCUAACGAGGUAUGGAAGACGUGAAUAUCCAGACUUUCCCCAGGCCUCUGGGUCCCAGAUGGACCGGAUUUCUCCAUCGAACAUACCUGUAGACUUUGGAUCACGUGGACGGAUUUAUCCAAUCACGAGACCUCCCCUGC